GAUGAACGCUGGCGGCGUGCUUAACACAUGCAAGUCGAACGGUGAAGCAGAGCUUGCUCUGUGGAUCAGUGGCGAACGGGUGAGUAACACGUGAGCAACCUGCCCCUGACUCUGGGAUAAGCGCUGGAAACGGCGUCUAAUACUGGAUAUGAGCUGCGACCGCAUGGUCAGCAGUUGGAAAGAUUUUUCGGUCUGGGAUGGGCUCACGGCCUAUCCGCUUGUUGGUGGGGUAAUGGCUCACCAAGGCGUCGACGGGUAGCCGGCCUGAGAGGGUGACCGGCCACACUGGGACUGAGACACGGCCCAGACUCCUACGGGAGGCAGCAGUGGGGAAUAUUGCACAAUGGGCGAAAGCCUGAUGCAGCAACGCCGCGUGAGGGAUGACGGCCUUCGGGUUGUAAACCUCUUUUAGCAGGGAAGAAGCGAAAGUGACGGUACCUGCAGAAAAAGCGCCGGCUAACUACGUG
rnacentral:rRNA from 1 species